AAAGCGCACGUAGGCGGCUUUGUAAGUAAGAGGUGAAAGCCCAGAGCUCAACUCUGGAAUUGCCUUUUAGACUGCAUCGCUUGAAUCAUGGAGAGGUCAGUGGAAUUCCGAGUGUAGAGGUGAAAUUCGUAGAUAUUCGGAAGAACACCAGUGGCGAAGGCGGCUGACUGGACAUGUAUUGACGCUGAGGUGCGAAAGCGUGGGGAGCAAACAGGAUUAGAUACCCGGGU
rnacentral:rRNA from 1 species